AUCCCACAUCAAAAAGUUAGGAAGAACUCAAAUUAAUAACCUAACAUCACAACUGAAAGAACUAGAGAAGCAAGACAAAACCCCAAAGCUAGAGGAAGACAAGAAAUAACUGAAAAUCCAAGCUGAACUGAAAGAAACUGAGACAUGAAAAAAAAAUUCAACAGAUCUACGAAUUCAGGGUGAUGGCAUCAGCUGAGAAGGGAAGGAAGCCCAUGUGAGGACACUGAAGAAGGAGUGAGCAGACAAUAAGAAGCCCACAGAAGACAGAGAAGGAAAAACUAGAGGGAGAAGCCAAGACACUACCCAAAGCAGUCCUUCACUACAGUGGCAGACAGACCUGAAAAUUUUCAUCUGAAGCAGCAGAGUGAACUGCAGAGUCAGGUCACCAACCAGUGUGGAGGCUAACAGCAGGCCUCUUUGGGGAUUCCAGGUGGAAGUGUUGGACAUCUGUAGUAUUCCUGGUCUCGAAUCAUCCUGAUAUUCUUCAUUUUGUUAUUCACAUUGGACUAGGAGAUAGACUCUCACUAUGUUGACCAGGCUGGUCUUGAACUCUUGGCACCCGAGCGAUCCUUUUGCCUGGAAUCCCAAAGUGUCAGAUUUACUGAAGAAUAUUUCAUUGUAAUUACUUUUUAUACUUUAUAGGUCAAGAGCUCUGUUUUAAAGACAAAAUUUAUUGAAUAUGCUUUUUCAAACAAAUUUCACGUUCUAAUCAUUGUAUGAUUUCAGCAUUAAAUGAAACACAGUAAAGAAA
rnacentral:lncRNA from 1 species